ACUAAACAUGUGUAUUUUGAUGACAUCAUACACCUCAUCAAGGAAGAAUCAAUAACCAACAACGUGAUAGAUGCUUAUGGUGAAAUUCUACUUGAACUACAAGGGCUAGUCAACCCAAGUUUGGAAGAUUCAUCAUUCAUCUUUACAAGCACAUGUUUGAAAAUCAUUGAACAGUACCCCCCCCCACAAGAGGAAUAAACUAAUUGAUGUACACAUCAAGGAGUAUCAAGGCCAAAGAUUCUUAAUCUUCCCAAUACACGACAACUUUCACUGGACAAUUGUUGUGUACGACGUGAAAGAGAAUGUAUGGAGGCAUUAUAACUCACUGCGCCCAAGAGAAGGCAUACAUGACCCACAUAUUGACAAAGCACAAAUACUGAGGGACUACAUCACAGCUUUGGUGCACAACAUUGGACCGUCAUCACCAUUAUGGACCAAUUUAUCAAGCCAAAAUACUUC